GACAGAGGGGGCAAGCGUUGCUCGGAAUCACUGGGCGUAAAGGGCGCGUAGGCGGGAUGCAAGUCGGUCGUGAAAUCCUUCGGCUCAACCGAAGAACGUCGGCCGAUACUGCCGUUCUUGAGGGAUGCAGAGGAGAUUGGAAUUCCCGGUGUAGCGGUGAAAUGUGUAGAGAUCGGGAGGAACACCGGUGGCGAAGGCGGGUCUCUGGGACGGUACUGGACGCUGGAGACG
rnacentral:rRNA from 1 species